rnacentral:rRNA from 1 species
UACGUAGGGUGCGAGCGUUAAUCGGAAUUACUGGGCGUAAAGCGUGCGCAGGCGGUUUUGUAAGCCAGAUGUGAAAUCCCCGGGCUCAACCUGGGAACUGCAUUUGUGACUGCAUCGCUGGAGUGCGGCAGAGGGGGGAUGGAAUUCCGCGUGUAGCAGUGAAAUGCGUAGAUAUGCGGAGGAACACCGAUGGCGAAGGCAAUCCCCUGGGCCUGCACUGACGCUCAUGCACGAAAGCGUGGGGAGCAACAGG